UAAUCUUAGUAGUUAUUCCAAAACAACUCCCAUUUUCCAUGUAAUAGAAGUUUUCAAAAGUAAGAAAAAUAUAAAACGUUUUUUGUCCCUUAUAAAGCUGAGACAAGAGUGUUGUCUGAUUCUGGACAUUGUUUUCGUUUCUAUUAUUAGAGAAAGCCAAGUGUGCUUAAAUUUAGAUUUUUUUUCCAUUUUUAGUUUACUACAAUAUAAAGCCAUCUAAAAUGUGCUAUAAUAGUAUUAGAAGUUAUGUAUGGUUGGCCUAGAGCUUAACUAGUAUUGUUAACAUCUGUGUUAUAGCUGGAACGAGGAUUACAUGGCCUUGAGCCUGUAAUCGUAGCCAACUUUCCUACAAAGAAGUACAGUGCUGACCUUUUCUUGGCUUCAGAAGAUGCUCAGUAUGUCCUUUUCUCCUACUUUAUUUCCUUUUGUGAUAUCUGCUUUGAAACAUAUGCAGUGAAUUCAGUACAAGGAAAAAUAAAUGGAAAUAGUUUUCUUGAGAUAAUUGUAAAAAUGCUCAAAAUUUACAAGUCUACUAUGAGACUGGUGCUUUUUCCUUAAUUAUAUUUGGCGGUAUUGUUUGAUAAAGGUUUAUUUUCUUCUUCAGUGAAGAAAGAUGGUAAGAAUUUCUUAAACCAGAAGUAUCUUAAGUUGCUGCUCUCCAAAUUGCUACACUUAGGUGCUGGGGUUGGACGCAUAUCUACAACUUAAAGGGAACUUCCAGUAUUUCCAUACCUGAAUUAAAGGAUACAUACUUGCAAGCCUUGCUUGUUCCCAGAUUUUGGUAUGCUGGGGGUGAAUGGAGGGUUGGAAUAGCAGAUACCAAUAGGUUGAGCAAUAUAGCUUUUUGAUGGUAUAGGGUUAGGAUAAUAGUUGCUCUUGUAUUUUGGUAAUUAUUCAGAUAAUGUUAAUUAAGAAGUUCAAUGGAUUCUUCUACAUUUUCAAAGACACAGAGAGGGGAUCUGGUAGAGGGUGGGGAGCUGUGGAACUUGAGAAUUUUUGGCUAAACUUGAUGCACAAGUCUAUAUCCUCCCCCAUGAAAGCAUGAUUGUCUGAAAGUUCAAUCUGCUUAUCAAGAGGGAAUUAAUACACUAGUGGACUUUCCUUGUGAAACUGCCUUUUCUUUGUUGGCCUUAUCAAUGGAAGUGAUAUCCAUGUUUUAAUAUGUUUUGACUUGAAAUGCUGUCUC
rnacentral:lncRNA from 1 species